CCUACGGGAGGCUGCAGUGGGAAAUAUUGGACAAUGGGCGAAAGCCUGAUCCAGCCAUGCCGCGUGUGUGAAGAAGGCCUUCGGGUUGUAAAGCACUUUCAGUGGGGAAGAAAGCCUUGGGGCUAAUACCCUCGAGGAAGGACAUCACCCACAGAAGAAGCACCGGCUAACUCCGUGCCAGCAGCCGCGGUAAUACGGAGGGUGCGAGCGUUAAUCGGAAUUACUGGGCGGAAAGCGCGCGUAGGCGGUCUGAUAAGCCGGUUGUGAAAGCCCCGGGCUCAACCUGGGAACGGCAUCCGGAACUGUCAGGCUAGAGUGCAGGAGAGGAAGGUAGAAUUCCCGGUGUAGCGGUGAAAUGCGUAGAGAUCGGGAGGAAUACCAGUGGCGAAGGCGGCCUUCUGGACUGACACUGACGCUGAGGUGCGAAAGCGUGGGUAGCAAACAGGAUUAGAUACCCGAGUAGUC
rnacentral:rRNA from 1 species